rnacentral:rRNA from 1 species
CGCCCCGACCUGGUUUUCGCGUAGUCCCUGCACGAGCUAUUCGUGGACCUCUUCCGCCAGCCCAGCGGGAGGUGCAGCUCUCCGAGCCGCCCACGGGCUCCGUUGGUGUUGGCGCAGCAUCACGGCAGGAGGUAGGGGUUCCCGGCGACGAGGUUUCCCCUCAGAUUUAGACUGUCACUUCGUAGUCUACAAUCACCGAGACUACCUCUUCUGUGGAGAACCUAAAGUACCAUAACGUUGGAUUCUCCCUUACGCAAGAAGACACUUUAGCUACUACUAAUGUAAGUUCUACUGAAGUUACAACACCCGAAUCGUCAGUUCAAGGUAUAAUACUAAUACAAGAACUAGAGUAAAAUCUAUAGCUCAGAAGAGUACCACUAUAAAAGUGUCUUCUUGUUUUACUCGAUCACCUUAGUCGACGACUCUACAACAUACCCGAUAAAGUACGCGCUAUGUAAGAAUGGCCAUUUCCCAACCGACGAUACGACCUCUUUAUGUUCUUGAUACUGAAACCUGCUACAGGUGCCCAAAUAACGACACCGGUUGGUACAGAUGGUCAACCUGUUAGCCUAUAAGUGACUAGAUCAUGUCACUUCUAUAUGACAGGGUUCACGCUUCUGUAGAUGAUAGGUGCCAGAUUUAUGGUUCCGUCAUAGGAUUAGUGAGAGAAUAAUAUGACAGAGUUUAACGACAAAGACUACUGUAUGCUAGUAGAGUUCGGGGUCUUCGGGAGCGUCGCGAUACAAGGAGUGCAUAAACCGAAGUUCGAGGUGUUCGGUAAUACGCCUCCACUUCCUUUUCUAUUCUCCGGGGCCUUCUGAUGACAUUCUCACGUUAGCGGCCUAGUACGACGGGUGGGUAUAACACACGGGACAGACCAGAUAAGUUGUAACUUUACAACCAUAUUUUCUUCUGUACUCUGCUACAACAUU